rnacentral:lncRNA from 1 species
UUUUUUUUUUUUUUUUAAUGAAACUUGUUUGCAAAAAACCAAACCUAAACCAAACCAAAAAAAAAAAAAAACCAAACACCAAAAGCCCAAGUGAAAACCGCGGCGAUCUGCAUGAUUGUAAGGGGUUCAAACAUAUCCGAAAACGAAGAAAAAGGAAUUGUUCUAUGGGCUUUUUGACUUCUGAACGUAUUGGAGCUCUGUGAUACUCAGCAAGUUGUCUGGCGCUGUCUUCACUGAAGACUUUUAUGUAAUGAAGAGGCUGAUUGUCAUAUUUUUGUCCAUGCUGGAGGCCAAUAACCCAACCCAUUCAUUAUCAGAAGAGAGUAGCCUGGAAGUUGCAACGUCAGGACCACUGUUUUGCUUGCAGCAAUGGAGUGCUGAGAUCAGGAGUCGUGAUUUUCAGUACAGAAAACUGGCACGUGUGGUUGUUUACCCGCUAUGGGAGUCAUAGGUGGCCAGAGAUGUUUGCAUUAGCACAGGCAUAGAAAAUCCAGCAGCCCACUGAAAUGGGUUGCGCUCAUUCCUGGGAAGCACAAGUUUCAGCGAGCAAAGGAAAAUCUGUAGGAGUCGUUUUGUGUCACGUUUUGGCUUAAAGUUAACUUUGAAUUGCACAGGUGUUUGUGGAGUGCUCUGCCUUAAUAAAUAAAUAAAUAAAACGCGCGGUUUUAGGUGAACUUUAUAAAAAAUGGAAGAGAAAGCCAUAAAUAGAUUUAUUUUUACAGUUUGAAUAAGGACAGCUACAGCUUUUAUUAUCUUCUGAUUUAGCGUGCUUUGAUGGCACUUGUAAGUAAAUUUAAAUUUUAAUCUCCGCGUUUCUCUCAGAUACGAGUAGAUGUGCCUGCACUCUUCGUUACUGCUAAAAGCAGGACUGUACUGAAAAGGCAGUUUUAUAUCCUCUCAUUCACACCUGGCAUUUUUUUUUUGCCUUAUUCUUUAUCCCAUCUUCUUUCGGGCAUUUUGUGCGUCUGUUUCGGAGGUGGAAGCAGUUUGGAUUCAGGGAAGGAGAAUGUAGAUGAAAGAAUAGAAUACAUAUCAUUUUUUUUUAAAGAAACACAAACUUAUUUCUGGCAACUGCAGAUGAAAAUCCACAUUUCUGUAGCGAUGGCACUCCAGGCACAGAUACUCUAUGGACAGGAAAGAAGAAUGGGUUACUGGAAGAAAACAUGUAAAAGCAAAAUAGUUCUGCAGUGCUUAAUUGGAUGAUCUUAAGGUUACUGUACAAAGGCGGGCUCUGGUUUCCAGUUGCGCGGCCAAAUACAGCAUACAAACUUUUUAUGAGUAAGUCGCUGAUCAGAGUCUGACCUUGGAUAGAAACAAGAGAAAACUGUAAUGAUCUGAUGGGUGUUUGUUGCUUAACGUGAAAUAGAUGAGUGGUGUCGGUCUGCAUCUGAGUGGAUCACAGUAACUGCUGUGACAUUUUCGCUCCUGUUGGCAGGUUAAGCAAGGAAGCCGAGCACCGAGCGAGAGAUCUGAAGUGUCUUUUCAGAGGUAGCAGCCAUCAGGAUGAGCAGAGAGGCACGGGAAUAGGGUAGGGAUUUGGGUUGCCUCUGCCCAACUGCACCGGCGCUGUGACUGAACGCACUCCCAGAGGGAAGCUGCUUCCAAUAUUCUGAAUUUGGCACCUUUCCCUUAUAUUUAAAUUCGCUCUAAUUUUCAGGUGCAUCUUACUAGAUAACCAGAUGCAUCAGAAAAGCAAAAGAAUUAUAGAGCAGUAAUUAUAAUUAGCCUUGUUGUCUGUUUUUUGAAAAUUGCAAGAUGGGGCCUUGAAAGUAUUUUGAAGUCACUGUUACUUAGAGGUCUUAAUCUAAACACUCCAUGCGAGAUUGUUUUUUAAAGAGAAGGGUUCUUUAGGUCAAGCUGAGCUAUAUUAAAGACAAACAAUUUUGUUACAAUCUAUCUUUUAAACACAGAUGAAGAAAACAGAACUAAAAUAGCCACAGCGGUCUCAGUAUCCAAUCUUUUCUACGUUUUGCAUGGCAGUAUUUGAGACUCCAAUAACCGAAAGUAGAAUUAGGUAAUUCCUCACAAGUAUUUGUCAUACUAUGAAAAAAGCAGUGCUGCCUGUCAUGGCAGGACGUGAACGGAGAAUUCUGCAGGUUGCAGUGCCCG